rnacentral:lncRNA from 1 species
CAAUGUAUAGCUGUAGCAACUGUUUUCUGUUACUAAAUAGGCGUUUUUUAAGCUGUUCAGUUUGCCCUUGAAAUAUGUCAAAUGACUCAUUUCAGGUUUACCUAGAGAGUAUUGUCUUUGUGUAACUCCAUCCUCUUAUCCCAGAAACAAUCAUUCUUGCAUGUCAUGGUUACCUCAUUUAGUGCCCUUUGAGAGCUUUUGCAGGUGGGCAAUAUUUCACAUGCAGUUUGGUUUGUAUGCUGUAAACAUCACUGAACAAAAACAAAACCAUCAGAAAAAUAACACUGGAAAGAUUGGAAGCUGCUAAGGGUAGAAUCAUUCUCAGUUAUGGGGUGGUCUAAAGGUUUGCUUUCUUGGAAUCCCAAAGGGAAGCUGUUUUAUGAGUGACAUAAGGAGAGCACACACAGGAAUGAGCUGAGGCAGAGGCUAUUGCUAUCAUGGUUUAUAAGCAUAACAGAUAGCCUAGACACUAUGGAUGGAAGCUUGGAAUAUCAUCGGAUAGAGUGGCACCAUCAGAGGAAUUCCUGGUAUUACCAAAUGAAGUAGGCAUGGGAACAGUUUUUGUGACAAAUAUUUUGGAUGUCUUCACUCUACCCCUCACCCACUGUAGGGAAGUGAAGGCAUGAGAAUUUGAACAGAAGAGACACCCUACUACCUGUACUUCCUACACAAGACCCAGUGACCACAGGCUCCCAACAAAUGAGCCAGGCCUCUGCUUAUUCUUCAACACGCAUAUCACAUCACCCUAGCAAGAAAUGGAUUUCCUCUGCAUUAUUGUUUAUCUGGAGAGAAUAACAGUUCACAAAGUCCAAUCAGAUCAAAGCAACUUCAUGAUCGAAUUAAGCCUCACAUGGAUUCAAAAACACUUCUAUUGAGUACCUGUGACAUUGCAUAAAAUGACUACAGCUUCAAGCACAAUGUCAAUGAAAUAAAAGUUAUACCUUGUGAAAUAGAUUGUAAUCUAGGUACAGAUAUUCAUCUUUCUUUUAUGUUCAAUGGCCUUUGUGCAUCUGUGUGUGUGUUCAGUUAAUACAUAUUUAUAAAUGAUGAAAAGGGAAACAAGUCAUCAUUAUUUUUAUCAACUUUUGUUAAAAAUACAUAUCGGUUAACGUUGCCAGGUAACAUACAAGAUGCUCUGCUGAAUUUGAAUUUCCAAUAAAAAAAUAAGUAAAUUUUUUAGCACAAGUGUGUGCCAAAUAUGGCAUAGAGCAUAUUUAUACUAAAUAGUGAUUAUUUGUCUAAAAAUCUAAUUUAACUGAGUGUCAUAUUUCCUUUAUCUUUUUCUAGCUUUAUUGAGAUAUAAUUAUCAGAAAUUAUAUAUACAGCCGUGUGUUCUUUAACAAAAGAGAUGCCUUCUGAGAAACACAUCAUUAGGUGAUGUCAUUGUGGGAACACUAUAGAUUAUAAACCUAGAUAAUAUAGCCAACUACACACCUAAGUUAUAUGGUAUAGCCUAUUGCUCCUAGGCUAAAACCUGCACAGCAUAUUACUGUACUAAAUACUAUAGGCCAUUGUAACACAAAGAUAAGUAUUU